CAGAACUCUGAUCAAUACAGUUAUUGCUCUUUGUAUUGUCUGUGCUGCUUUGGCAGCAAGUUUGACUGUUUCACUGUACCUCAUUUGGACCAAUAAGAAGAAGGAUUCUCACAGUGAUGCUGAACAAGUAAGCAGUGAUCAGCAGAGUGAUGAAGCUUCAUUGACCUAUUCGGCACCAACCUUCAGCAGUAGAAAAGGCAAAACCGAAAGAGGAAACACACACUCGCCUCAGAAAGAGACGAUCUACACUGAUGUGCGUUUUCACUGCUGAAAAAUGUGCACUCUCAACCUGCUCAGUCAUGUGGAUGAAAUAUAUAUUCAGAAGAGCUGAUUGAAGAUAUUGCGAUAAAGUUACAAGUAAGACUCAAGUUCAAGUUAAAUUUACACAAUGUAAAAUACUUUUACAAGUGAUUCAUGUAAAUUUCUAUUCAAAUCAUCAAUGUUCACAAAUAACUGCAUACGACUUGAAUUUAUGUCUGAAAUUAUAAUGAAAUAAUGAUAUUAAACUUUAUUGAAUUGUAUUUUUGCUCGAUUGUGAUUAUCAUGCUGAUUUUGAGGUAAUUUCUCCAUAAAACUGAAUCCACUGUCAAGUUUUAACAUUCACCCAUAUUUUGUUUUCAUUGAUUGCUUUUUCUUGACAUU